rnacentral:rRNA from 1 species
GACGAACGCUGGCGGCGUGCUUAACACAUGCAAGUCGAACGGAAAGGCCCUGCUUUUGUGGGGUGCUCGAGUGGCGAACGGGUGAGUAACACGUGAGUAACCUGCCCUUGACUUUGGGAUAACUUCAGGAAACUGGGGCUAAUACCGGAUAGGAGCUCCUGCUGCAUGGUGGGGGUUGGAAAGUUUCGGCGGUUGGGGAUGGACUCGCGGCUUAUCAGCUUGUUGGUGGGGUAGUGGCUUACCAAGGCUUUGACGGGUAGCCGGCCUGAGAGGGUGACCGGCCAAGUUGGGACUGAGAUACGGCCCAGACUCAUACGGGAGGCAGCAGUGGGGAAUAUUGCACAGUGGGCGGGAGCCUGAUGCAGCAACGCCGCGUGCGGGAUGACGGCCUUCGGGUUGUAAACCGCUUUCGCCUGUGACGAAGCGUGAGUGACGGUAAUGGGUAAAGAAGCACCGGCUAACUACGUG